CCCUUAGACGUUCUGGGCCGCACGCGCGCUACACUGGCCGGUGCAACAAGCAUCCGUCCUUGGCCGACAGGCCCGGGCAAUCUUUGAACGCCGGUCGUGAUGGGGAUAGACUUUUGCAAUUUUUGGUCUUCAACGAGGAAUUCCUAGUAAACGCAAGUCAUCAACUUGCAUUGAUUACGUCCCUGCCCUUUGUACACACCGCCCGCCGCACCUACCGAUUGAAUGGUCCGGUGAAGCCUCCGGAUUGGCGCGCACCUCGGUGCCGCCGAGAAGUUGGCUAAACCUUACCAUUUAGAGGAAGGUGAAGUCGUAACA
rnacentral:rRNA from 1 species